rnacentral:rRNA from 1 species
GAUGAACGCUAGCGAUAGGCUUAACACAUGCAAGUCGAGGGGCAGCAUGGUCUUAGCUUGCUAAGACUGAUGGCGACCGGCGCACGGGUGCGUAACGCGUAUGCAACUUGCCUCACAGAGGGGGAUAACCCGUCGAAAGACGGACUAAUACCGCGUACACUCCAUCUUGGGCAUCCAAGGUAGAGGAAAUGAAAUUCGCUGUGAGAUAGGCAUGCGUCCCAUUAGCUAGUUGGUGAGGUAACGGCUCACCAAGGCGACGAUGGGUAGGGGAACUGAGAGGUUGACCCCCCACACUGGUACUGAGACACGGACCAGACUCCUACGGGAGGCAGCAGUGAGGAAUAUUGGUCAAUGGGCGAGAGCCUGAACCAGCCAAGUCGCGUGAAGGAUGACUGUCUUAUGGAUUGUAAACUUCUUUUAUACGGGAAUAACAAGAGUCACGUGUGACUCCCUGCAUGUACCGUAUGAAUAAGCAUCGGCUAACUCCGUG